CGUCUCAAAAAAAAAAAAAAAAAAAAAAAAAAAAAAAAAGACUAAGGUGUAAUCCAUCUAGCAUAUUUCCAGUGACCCAACAGGGGCUACCUGAUUAUAGUAACUGGCUCUGAAUUGCUGCUUCUGCUCAACUUCCUGGAUGCUAGCAGUACCCAGGGAUGUAAAGACCUUUCAACUAGAGCUCAUAGGUUCACAGAUGCAGAGGAAUUUUGCCUCAGGAUGAAUUGCAUCUUCAGUCUCACCCAAACCUGAUUUAGAUAAUAUUUCAAUGAGACUUCGGACUUCAGACUUUACAGUUGAUGCUGCAACCAGUUAAGGCUUUUGGGAUUGUCGGAAUGGAAUGAAUGUAUUUUGCAUGUGAGAAGAACAUGAAGUGUGGGGGGGCCAUGGGCAGAAUAUUAUGGAUUGCAUGAUUUUGUCUCCCCAGAAUACAUAUGUUGAAAUUCUAAUCCCCAAUGUGAUGGUAUUAUGUGGUGGGAACUUUGGGAGGUAAUUAGGUUAUGAGGGUGGAGACCUCAUGUAAAGGAUUAGUGCCCUUAUAAGAAGAAACACAAGAGCUUGCUUCCUCUCUCUGCUCUCCACUAUGUGAAGAUAGAACAAGAAGAUGGCCAUCUGCAAACCAGGAAGAGAGCCCUCAUCAGACACUGGAUCUGCCAGCACCUUGAUCCUGGACUUCACAGCCUCCAGAACUGUGAGAAAUACAUAUAUGUUUUUUAAAGCACCCAGUCUGUGGCAUUUUGUUGUAGCAACCUGAGCUAAAACAGUUGCUAUUGAACUCUGUUCAGAGCUCCAGAUGUCCUGUGCUGGCACUGGGCAGGGUGCUCUCCUGGGCCAUUUCAUCAGCUCAGAGGCCUCACCUUCCACCAUAUGCUGAAGACCUCAAAUCUACAUCACAGUGAGACCUCCCCUGAGGUCUAGGCUAUUAAGUUG
ensembl:lncRNA LINC01363 long intergenic non-protein coding RNA 1363